GAUGAAGAACGUAGCGAAACGCGAUAAGUAAUGUGAAUUGCAGAAUUCAGUGAAUCAUCGAAUCUUUGAACGCACAUUGCGCCCGCCAGUAUUCUGGCGGGCAUGCCUGUCUGAGCGUCAUUUCAACCCUCAUGCCCCUAGGGCGUGGUGUUGGGGAUCGGCCAAAGCCCGCGAGGGACGGCCGGCCCCUAAAUCUAGUGGCGGACCCGUCGUGGCCUCCUCUGCGAAGUAGUGAUAUUCCGCAUCGGAGAGCGACGAGCCCCUGCCGUUAAACCCCCAACUUUCCAAGGUUGACCUCAGAUCAGGUAGGAAUACCCGCUGAACUUAAGCAUAUCAAUAAGCGGAGGA
rnacentral:misc_RNA from 1 species